UACAGAGGUUGCGAGCGUUGUCCGGAAUCACUGGGCGUAAAGGGCGCGUAGGUGGCUCGUUAAGCGUGUGGUGAAAGCCUGGGGCUCAACCCCAGGUCUGCCGUGCGAACUGGCGAGCUUGAGCAGAGUAGAGGCGGGUGGAAUUUCGGGUGUAGCGGUGGAAUGCGUAGAUAUCCGAAAGAACACCGGUGGCGAAGGCGGCCCGCUGGGCUCUUGCUGACACUGAUGCGCGACAGCGUGGGGAGCAAACAGG
rnacentral:rRNA from 1 species